rnacentral:rRNA from 1 species
GAUGAACGCUGGCGGCGUGCCUAAUACAUGCAAGUCGAGCGAACGGACGAGAAGCUUGCUUCUCUGAUGUUAGCGGCGGACGGGUGAGUAACACGUGGAUAACCUACCUAUAAGACUGGGAUAACUUCGGGAAACCGGAGCUAAUACCGGAUGAUAUUUUGAACAGCGUGGUUCAAAAGAGAAAGACGGUCUUGCUGACACUUAUAGAUGGAACCGCGCUGCAUUAGCUGGUUGGUAAGGUAACGGCCUACCAAGGCAACGAUGCAUACCCGACCUGAGAGGGUGAUCGGCCACACAGGACCUGAGACACGGCACAGACUCCUACGGGAGGCAGCAGUAUAGAAUCUUCCGCAAUGGGCGAAAGCAUGACGGCGCAACGCCGCGUCAGUGAUGAAGGUCUUCGGAUCGUAAAACUCUCUUUGUAGGGAAGAACACAUGUGUAAUUAACUGUGCCCAACUUGACGGUACCUAAUGAGAACGGCACGGCUAACUGCGUG